GAUGACGCCUCCUCCACAAAUUGGGCCUUUAAGACUCAAGCCCAAAUAGUUCAGUAUUAUUGGGCUUAAAUUAGCUCGAUAAGCCUUUCUUGAAUUUACCUUUUUUUCUUUAAUUUAUUGGCAAAUCUAUGCCACGCAUGUACCUUUUGACUUUGGACCUUUUAAACAUGUGAACGUUACCUUCCACUCUAAAUUUAACGACCAGUCGACCAGAAUUUAAUUCGUUACAUAUGAUCAAGUAGUAUCAAUGGACUAAUACAAAGUGUUUUUUUCCUAAGACUAAUACAAAGUUGACAGACGUCAGACGUGACAACACAUCGAACUCAAUACCGAGUCUCUUCGUCGUCUCUUUAUAUUUCUUCCAAUAUUCAUUUCACUUCUCUGUUCCCUCCUU